rnacentral:lncRNA from 1 species
GAGAAAAGAAAAGGUCGAAAAGUUAGUCGAGCAGAAGUUUUCAAAGUUGCAUACACCCGUAAAGAUGGUAGACCACAACCAGCUCAUGAAGUAACAAUUGCUAAAAUUGAUGAGAAACUCACCGAGGAGCCAGAAUUUGUGGACAAACCCAUAGAAGAAGGAGACUAUCUUUCAAACUUGCUUGGUAAGGAAAACAGAGGUAGAGUGAUUGGAAUAGGUAUGGGUCCCACUCCUGCAAGUCUUGGUUUGCCAGGAACUAAAUCAACAGCAAGAACAAUCUUACAGUUGGAGAGAGAAGCAAGACAUAGAGCAGAAGAAGAAGUCCGCGCUUUAAAAUAA